rnacentral:lncRNA from 1 species
GCAAAUAAUUAUAAAUAAACAUAUUAACCAUCCGAACUUCGAAGAGUUUUAUGUAAAGAUCUUCGGAUGCAAUCUGAACAACGACAUAACAUUUUUUUAUGUUGUUGAAACUAUUAUGUAAUUACAAUUAUGACUACAUCAUCGUAUUUGGUUGUAAUUCUCUGUAGUAUCAAGAAUCACGACUGUGACUGCUAUUUAAAACCCUAACUCAAAACUACGUAUAUGUUAUUAAUUGAAUAAAAUAGAAAUUAAAGUAAGUAAAUAAAAUGAGAGUAGACCUCCAACUCAAAUUCCAAGCAAGGAACCCAUCCCUUCCUUAGAAGGUAUUCAACUUCCUUUAGCAAUUGCUCUUCAGUCAAUGGUGGAAGGUAUGAGAGAGUCUCAAACUUCUUCUUGCCAAUUGGUGGCCACACCUAUAUAGUAGUAAUAUCAAAAGAUUAAGUCAAAGGGGUUAGCAAAAAAUAUGAAUUAAUAAUGUUAUUUAAAUAAUUAAAUCACCUUAUGGAUAAAAAUAUCUAAUAAUUUCAAGUUUUGUUUAAUGAAUAUUAAUUAAUAAUGUACAAAAUAUAACACAACCGUUCAAUCAUAUUUAACAAAUUAUUGAACAUUGCAAUUUUAUAAAAUUAUAUUUAUUAAAUAUUUGUUCUAUAUUGUCAUAAAUAUAUAUUUGUGUAUAAUAAUUUGAAAUUGAUGCAUAUAAUAUUAAUUCAAAGUUAGAAUUAUAAAAUUGUAAUUAAAUAUCACAUUGAAAAAACAAAAAGACACUUAUUUUAGAAUAUUUUUAUUUGUUUAAACACAAUUAUUUUAGAUCAAGAGUAUAUUUAUUGAAAUAUUUUAAAAAGUGACGUGAUAAAGUGGUAUCAUAAUUAAUCAUUGUUCUCAAGUAGAUGAGCGAGUUUUGAUAAAUAUUUCAAAAACCAUUUAUAGAAAUUAAUAUACUAAACUAUAGAAUUAUUUGAAUUGAAAAAGUUUAAUAUAGUAAACUAUAGAAGUUAAUUAUGUAUUACUAACUUGCAUGCAGUGUACUCUUCCACCAUUGCUUGCAAUGGAAGUGAUGUCAUUGUUGACCUUUCUAACUGGGAAACCAGCCAUGGAUUUGAGACCAACAAAUGGAGCCACCGCGCCGGAUGGCACCGAAGAGGCGCGUUUAACGGUGGUCACCGCCGAAGAGGAAAUCAUAGAGGAAGCCAUUGUUGUGUUUUCACUUUCUUAUAUAUUUCUAUAAAUUGAGUUGAAAAGCUUCUAUUGAAACUUGCUAUAUAUAAUGUUUUGAAAUUUAGUGAUGGUUAUAUUAUACCAAUGGUUUGGAUUGUGAAAAUGAUAAACAUUGGAACCAUAUUAACCACACGAGAUUGGAAAGUUUGUGUUACUAGCCUUAUCAUUAUGCACCAAUAGGAUAUUGACACGUGGAUCAUGUCCUACUAAUCUUAUCUUCUCAUGAGAACAACAUAAAUGUGUGAUGGUGGUCAUGUAAGUCGUUUUUAUAUUUUAUUUUAUUUUAUAUGAAUUGAAAUAAUGUCGUUUUUAUGUAUGUUGGUCUCUUGGAAUUUUGUGACUAUUAAUUAAUUCCUCAUGGUACCUUUUUUCAGGCUUUGGCUUCUCAUAGAGGUAAAAAUAAUAAAGGUUUUCAUUCAUAUAAAAGUAAUUGACUUAUGUACAAACUUGGGUAAACCAUAUAAUCAAGACUUCACACAUAAAAAUGGCUUAUUGGUAAACUUGGGUGAAUCAUAUAAUCAAGACCAAAAAUAUAAACUCCACCAACUAGACUAAUCUUAAGCAUGUGAUAGAACUUACUCUAGGAGAUGAUUAGGAAGAACCAAUUGCAUGGUGUGAUUUGUUUGAGAGUUUUAAGUUGGAUGUGAUAUUAUUUUAAAAAUAUUGAUAAAUAAAAGGUAUAUUUCAUAUAUAUGUAGCACUGACUUAAUAUGUGUAACACCCCAAAAUUUUCAUAUAUAUUAUAUGUGUAUCUUUUUAGUAAUUGCUAUUAUUAAAUUAAUAAUUAUUAUAUGUGUAAAUAAAUUAAAUUAAAUUUUAUCACACUCUAUUCUACCUAAAUAAUUAUAAUAUUCAUUUUUAUUUAAUUGUUUUGACGUGACAAUUACAUGGGGACUAUUUAUGAUGUCAUUAUUUCAUAAAUGGACAUUUUUAUUUGAUUAGUUUCGAUAAUCAUGAAAUUGAUGUGUUAGAUAUGUUUGUUUUAUUUUGUUAUGUGUGAGUGGUAUUCUUGUCUUGCUUGAUUUUAUUUUAGUUAAUAAAAUAUUAGUUGAAUUAUUUAAUUAAAUUAGAAUUUAUAUAAGUUAUAUUGUUUGUUAGUUUUAUUUGCAACCAAAUAAGUAUUCAUUUUAGGAGAUAUUAUAGAGUUAGUGAAACAAACGUAUAAGUGUUUUGAAAAUAUUUUUGGUCCAUCUUAUAAAAACAAAAAUUAGUUACUUGACUCAUUCUUUUACUCUCAUUUAUGACAAGAUUUUAUGACAAUUGUUUUCUUGGCAUAAUGUGCAUUAAUUCAUUUUAAACACCUUUAAUUUAUUUUUAAAGGAAGAUUAUAAAUUUAAUUAUAAGUUUUUUGUGCAAUCAAGAGAGGACACAAAAAGACUAUUGUCCUUUUUGUAUCUCAUGCAUUCAUCUCUUAAACUAAAAUUAUAAUUUUAUUAUAAUUGUCUACAAAAAUAAUUUUAUGAAAUUUUUGGUUCGUAACUAUUAGAUAAAAAAAUUAAAAGGGUGAUGUGACGAUCUCUAAUUUAUUUAUUUAAUUAAAAUUAGUGUGUGACACCCUUCAAUAUAUGGUGAACUCUAUUAGUUAAUCCAAAUUAACUCAUACAUAUAAAUACACAUAAUUUCAAUUGGCAUUGUAACAACCUAAUAAAAUUAAAGAAAUAGUAAUUAUUGAUAGUGUAAUGUUGGAAUUAAGUGCACUUCAAUUUUAGACAAGAAAUCAAUGGUAAUAGUGCAACGUAAAUAGCUUAUAUGUUCAUACGUUUCCAUUAGGCAUCUUGUUGUCACACCUAUUUGUCAUUCGUACACUCUCAAAAUAAUUUUCUGAGUCGUAAAUUCCAAUAUCUAUCGGUGUUGAAUUCAUUACUGCCUCGUGAGCUAUUUCUCGUGCAAAUUUAGAGGUGUUAAGAAAGAAAGCGCCUAAGGUAAGGGCUUUUCCCCAUGCAAUGUUAGGCUAGAUAUUAAAUUAAUAGUUUGUAAGAUAUUGAUAUAAAACUUGUUGUCUUAAAAGAGAAAUAUUGAUUUUUAAUUACCUUAAAAUAUUUAACUAUAAUAUUUUAUUUUUAUGAGUAAUAUGUUUGCUUUGAUAAACUUAAUUAUAAAUUUCGAUUUUUAUUAUUAUAACAUGACUAAUAUGUUUGAUGUCAUAUAUUUGAUGUAAAGUUAUUGUUUGUGUGUUGUUUAUGUGUACUUAAUUAUAAAACUAUGAUUUUUAUUAUGAUCUCAUGAAUAAUAUUUUUUUAGGAUGUCUUUAAUUUAAAGUUUCGAUUUUUGUGCUAUUUCAUUUCAAAGUUUUGAUUUUUAAGAAAUCUAUAUGAGUCUUGGGGGAAUUGGUGUAAAGUUUUAAUUUUAAUUAUGAUAACAUGAUUAAGUUGAUUUUUGUGAUGUGUUUAGCGGCAAACCUUGAUUUGUGUUUUAAUAAUAUUAUUUUUGUGGUUGCCUAAGUGGCUUGUGAUUUGUGUUUUGAAUAUUUUAUCUAUGUGGUUGUCUAAGUGGUUUGGUUGGUAGUUUGUAUUUUAAAUAUUUUUAUCUUUGUGGUUGCCAAAUUGGUUGGUGAUUUGCAUUUUAAAUAUUGUUAUCUUUGUGGUUGCCUAAGUGGCUAGUGAUUUGUGUUCUAAAUAUUAUCUUUGUGGUUGCCUAAGUGGCUGGUGAUUUGUGUUUUAAAUAUUGUUAUCUUUGUGGUUGCCUAAGUGGCUGGUGAAUUGGAUUUUAAAUAUUGUUAUCUUUGUGGUUGCAAGUGGCUGGUAAUAUUUAUGUGAUUAUCUAAUUGGGUGGUGAUAUGUAUCUUUGAGCAUCAUUAUCAUUUCAUGACAUAUCAUAUGCAUCUUUGUGGACGCCUGUGUGGCUGGUUUAAUUUUCCCCAUUGGUAUGGGUGACUUCUGUGUGGACGCCUGUGUGGCUGGUUAUAUCCGGAUCAUAUAUAUUUAGGAGCAUGCAUAACUUGCAUAUAUUCUAUUGUUAUUUUUAUUUUGAUCUAAUUAUUUGAUAUACNNNNNNNNNNNNNNNNNNNNNNNNNNNNNNNNNNNNNNNNNNNNNNNNNNNNNNNNNNNNNNNNNNNNNNNNNNNNNNNNNNNNNNNNNNNNNNNNNNNNNNNNNNNNNNNNNNNNNNNNNNNNNNNNNNNNNNNNNNNNNNNNNNNNNNNNNNNNNNNNNNNNNNNNNNNNNNNNNNNNNNNNNNNNNNNNNNNNNNNNNNNNNNNNNNNUUAAUUUUUCCCAUUGGUAUGGGUGACUUCUGUGUGGACGCCUGUGUGGCUGGUUAUAUCCGGAUCAUAUAUGUUUAGGAGCAUGCAUGACUUGCAUACAUUUUUAUGUUAUUUUAUUUUGAUCUAAUUAUUUGCUAUACGAUUGCUACUUGAUUUAUUUAGAUACAUUCUAUAACUUUUGAUACAUCUUUAAGAACUAUUAAAGAAUAAAUUUUUUUAAAAUCUUUUAUUACGAAAAGAUUUUAUAUUCAUAUUUUAUGGUUGUUAAUUUAUUAUUUGGUUUAGUUUUGUUGUGGGAUGAACUGACCCCUUACACCAACAUUUAGGUACGAAUGAUUUCAAAGAGUUGCAUGAAUGACGUUUGAUUGGUGCACACACAUGGGAAAAUUAUAUUUUACUUAAAAAUAAUAUUUUGUAUUACUAAAGUUUUGCGGCACAUUGUAAAGUUAUUUACUCUUCAUCAUUAACUUUUAAUAGAAAUGCAGUGAUAUUUCAUUAGCUAGAAAAAAAUUGAAUGUCAUUAAUUUCAGUCAACAUUGUUUCUUUUGAAUUUCACUUAAAGAGAAUUUAUUUUAUUUUGGACCAUAAAUGAAUAUUGAUCUAAUAAUUGGAAUAUUAAUUUUGCAAAUGAAUAAAUAAAUAAUAUUUUAGUAAAUUACAUUACGUUCUUUUAAUGAGAAAAAAAAAUUAAUUAGUUGUUUCUAAAAGAAAAUAAAUACUUUUCAGUAAUAUUCGUAUCAAAAAUUUGGGGCGUUACAUGUGGUAUCAGAGCACUAAUUCUCGGACCUUGUGGGGUGGAUGUGUUGUGUGUUGCAUGUAUUCCGAUGUUACUUGCGUUAUUUGUUCGAUUUUCUAUUUAUUGAAUUUUAUUAAUUACUUAAAUUUUAAUUAUAUGUUAUUAAUUUGGUGGCCACUUUGAAUUUGAAUUUUACUAAUGACUUAAAUUUCUAUUAUGAGUCAUUAAUUGUGUAACCUUCAAUUUGAAUUUUUAAGAAUUACUUAAAUUCUUAUUAUGUGUCAUUAAUUAUGUUAAUUGUUUGGUUCUCUAAUUAUUGAAUUUUACUUAAAUUUUUUUGUGUGAUUGUGUAACCUCCAUGAAUUUAUGUCAUUAAAAAUAUGACUUAAAUAUUUGGUUUAAUUGUGUUAUUUUAUUAUUUAUUUAGUUGUUUUCAUAUAUGAAAUCUCUAUGUCUAGUUGUAUGUUUCUUUAGCUUUGUCUUUUUAUAUUAUUUAGAAAUCUUCUAUUUAAUUUUGAUAGAUUUUACUAUCUUUUUAUGAGUUUUUUUCUUGUUUAUUAUGACUAUUUUGUUUUAAUAAUCUUAGACUCUCUACUUCUUGUUUAUGUUAAAUAUUUUGUGGUCUAGUUAUUACUUGACUUAAUUAGUUUUGUUAAUAAUAAUCAUUAAUAUUACAAAAUAAUUUAAUCUUCUACUUCAUACAAAUGAGUAUUAUUAUGUUAUAAAAUAUAAUACUAUAUAUAUUAUUGUUGUUAUCAUUGUCUCUUUUAUAUUAUUUUUAUGAAACUACAAAUUUUAGUUCACUUGAAUUGCAAAUAUUUUAAAAAGAAUAUCAUUUAAUUCGAUAUUAUUAUUAGUGUUAGUAAUAAAUUUUCCUUUUAACUUGCUUAGUUAAGAUAUUUUUAAUAUUGCAAAGGUAUUUAAUAAACAAAAUUAAUUUUGGUUUUAUUUCUUAAAUUAGAUUUUUUAAGACAAAUUUAAUGUAGUUACGUUUUUUUUUUGAAUUUAUAUACAUAUACAAUAUUUUUCUUUAUUUUAUGAAUGUUGUUUACACACUUUAAGAUGAAGAGUUAAGAUAGUAUAUUAUUGUAAUUAUUUUACCAUUAAUAUCAUUAUUAUUAUUUCUAUUAUUGUUAUUAUUUGUUAACAUUUAGAUUUUAACAAAUAAUACUCUUCAUUUAUUAAUUUCCUUUGUUUUACUGCUCAAGUUAUGUUGAGGUAUAAAUGUGAAAAGUGAGAAAGAACUUGAUGAAUCAUAGCUUGGGCGUCCCUAAGAUUUUGGUCCCUACUCCCUAUGCAAACCAAGGAAAUGUUGCCUUAAUAAAUCUAAAAAUUGCAUUUAUAGAUCUAAAUAUUGGAAUGGAGAAAUUCAGAUAAGAUUUCAUCUUCUUUCUUAAGAUUACAAUAUUACAUUCCUACCAUUAAGCUAACAUUCUAUGAUCAUUUUUUUUUUUUAAUUCUCCGAUGUCGUAGGAAUAAAACUUUAAUAAUUUAGGAUUUAGUUGAGACGUAAGUAAAAUUUAAUUAAAAAUUGUUUUAUUUAUAAUCCAAUUUUAGUUAUUUCAAAAGAUUUAUUUUUAACUGAAGUUCAUUGUUUGAUCUCAAACACUUGGUUUUUGUCUUUAUUGAUGCACACCUAUUAAUAAUAUGUUUAGAAUUCGUUUGAUGGACAAGAUAUAAAUAAGUUAUCAUAUUAUAUUUGAAUUGAGUGUUUGAUGAACCAACAUGAUAUGAUAUGAUAAGUCAACCCAUAACUCUAUCUUAUCAUGUAUCUUUAAUUGAAAUUUAUAUCAUAAAUAUGAGCUGAGUUAUAAACUAUCAGAAAAUGAUAAGAACAAUAAUUUACUUAAUUAUUCUUAUAAAAUAUAAAAUAUAAAAAUAAUUUAUAAAAUAUUUUAGAUAUGUAAAUCUAAUCAAAUAUAAAUAAAUAAAAAUACUUAAUAGAAUUUGAUCUUAAACUUAAAAAUGAAAUAUUAAUAAUUAAUUUAAAAAAUAUUUAUGAUUUUAUCACAAUGAUAACUUUGUCUUUUUAUAUAAUUUAAAUUAGCAUUCAAAAUUAUACAAAUACGAAGAUUAAUUAAAAUAUUAAAAUAAAAAUAAUUUUUUUACAAGGAUAUUUCUGCCAUUUACAUAUAAUAUAUAUCAUAUCUUUAUUUAUAUUAUAACAAAUAAAUAAAAUUAUUUAGUUACUCAUUAUUUAAAAAAAAAAUAUUCAAUUGUUUAUACAGUAGUGUUAGUGGAUUGUUUUAGAUAUAAUAUUAUUUCAUUACUUAUUUAAUUUGUUAUUAUUUUUUCGUUAAGUUAAUUUUUAACAAAACUAAUAUGUAAUUAUUCACAAUGAUAAUUUUGUUAUUUAAAUAUAAUAUAUACUAUAUUGAUGUGAUGUGUAUCAAAUACAUGAGAAAAUAAAACGUUAUCUUAUUAAUUAUUAUGUGUGUAUUAAACACUAGAUAUAAUAAUGUUUAUUCUGUCACACCUUAUUUUUCAUUUUUUGUACCCCUAAUCUUUACCAUAAAAUCUUUAUCUUAGGAUUAAAAAAUGGUAAGAAAAAAAAAAUAGUACCCCUUAAAAGUAGAUCAUGUCUGAUUGAACCACCUACACAUGUUCAAGACCACCAUUGGUAGGAAGUUAUUGAUCUUUACAGUUGUGUUGAUUAGGUGUGUUAAUUGAUUUGUGAUAUGUUUCUUUUCAACAUUAUUAAGAAUCUUGAAGAAUCAAUAGUGUCAUUCUCUACUUUUCUAGGAUUCAAAAAUUAAAUCUUGGACUUCAAUUGUUGCAAGAAUCAGGGAAUAUGCUGAUGCUGGUCAAAGCACACUUCAAUUGUUUGUUGCUCUUAGUGUAACAUCUCUUGAUUAGAAUCAUUUUCUUUUACUCUUUAAAAUAUUUCCACUUUAUUCAUGAAUAAAAUCAUCAAUUCAGAGUGCCUUACAUUGUUUAAGUCAAAAUUUUAUGCCUAAGAUUGUUAUCAGAUGGGAAGAAAUUAAAAUAUUAUUCAUGAUAAAAAAAAAAUGUAAAUAAAAAAACUUGGAAACUUUUUUCCUAUUAAUAUGUCAGUCAAUUUCGAUGUAUUUUGUUCGUUUAUAAAAAGUGAAAUUGAUGUGUUUUGGUGAUAUGAAUGUUCAAUUGAUGUUAGUUUAUGUCAAGUAGCUAAACCAAACAUAUUAUACUAAUCUUCGCAAGAGAUCAUUUAUUCUCAUAUUAAUUGUAUACACUCAAAUAUUUUUAUAUUUUCAAAAUAUGCUCAAAAAAAUUUCUUGUAAAGAUGAAAAAUAGUUAUGUGGAAGUAAGAUUUCUCUUUCCAUAAACGUUGCUAUCAAAAAGAGUCAAGUAUUUCCACAAGAUAAGAUGUCAUCUAUCAUAAAUUUUAUUAACUCAACCACUAAAUGAUCAACCAAAUAAGUAAUCCAUGUGCAUGACUACAAUUUUCAGCCAAUGAACAGAAUUUGACAAGCACUCUUGUAGUUCAAGAUAAAUUGUUUUAUUUUUGUGGUAAGAGAGAUUCAUCUACUCGAUUUUGUGUCAAAUUUCGAUUUGUUUUCCCUUUCAAAACUACAAAUGAUUUGAAAAUUAUAAAGGAAAGUUAAUAAAUGACUAAAACAAAAGGGCUAUGUUGGACUUUAAAGUUUGUUAAGUUAUAUAUACGAAUGUUUAGGUCGACAAUUGAAAAAUACACAUCCAAAAAGAAAACAAAGACAAUUUUUAUGUCCUUCCAAUGUGUAUUUUUAGACAAAAAAAAAAACAAUAUUUUUCCUCAUCUAGAUCUAGAUGUAUAUUUUCAAAAUCCUAUCCUUCUUUUUAGAAAUGUGUGGUAGAAAAAGUUGCUCUUAUAUAAAAAUAUUUGUUGCCAAGGAUAAAGAUAUGUCAAUUAGGUAAAGCUCAAUAGCUUCAUGGAAUAAGACUAUGAGGUUAGCAUGAAGAAUAAACACCUCAAAGAUUAAUUUGAAAACAUAGUUACUUGGUCAUAUAGUCUCAUCCUUGACUUCACAUUUAAGAAACAAACCUUAAUAUCAUAGUGUUGGUUCCUUUAUUAGUUAAAAUAUCAAGUUCAACAUAAUAACAAGGUAAACAACAGAAAAUUAUAGUACUUUGAGAAUGAAUAAAAGGACCAUUUCAUUUAUUAACUCUUAUCCAUCCAUUUGCAUUUGAAGUCCGAAAGUAAAAACCGAAAAAACAAAGGAAGACAUUCCUUUGAAGAAGAAAAGGAAAUUACAAGCAUAACAAAUGGGAGAAAAUAAAUGAUUCUUCCAAGAGAGUUAAUACUCAAACUUAGAACUCUUUAGGUGUGUGUGCAAUGAAACUGAUGCACUGCACUUGGCGAACGUUGUCGAAUCCGAUGAUGCGGACGAAAGCAUUAGGGUAAGCCUUGACAACUUCCUGAAGUUCCUUCAACACUUGAACAGCCUCAGUGCAACCAAACAAUGGAAGCUUCCACAUUGUCCAGUACCUUCCAUCAUAGUAUCCUGGUGAGUUGUUGUGCUCACGGUACACAAAUCCUUUCUGCAAAUAAGUACAAAUAAACAUAUUAACCAUCCUAACUUCGAAGAGUUUUAAGUAAAGAUCUUCAGAUGCAAUCUGAACAACGACAUAACAGUUUUUUAUGUUGUUGAAACUAUUAUGUAAUUACAAUUAUGACUACAUCAUCGUAUUUGGUUGUGAUUCUCUGUAGUAGUAUCAAGAAUCACUAUUGUGACUGUGACUGCUAUUUAAAACUCUGACUCAAAAUUACGUAUAUGUUAAUUGAAUAAAAUAGAAAUUAAAGUAAGUAAAUAAAAUGAGAGUAGAC